rnacentral:rRNA from 1 species
AAGUCGUAACAAGGUUUCCGUAGGUGAACCUGCGGAAGGAUCAUUACCGAGAGAAUGGGGCCCAACCGGUCCCAGCUCUUCACCCGUGUCUAUAAAGAAAACGUUGCUUUGGCGGGCCGGGGACGAAGGUUUCGUUACCCGGGUGACGUCACGGCCACCCAGUGCCCGUCGAAGGCCCAACUAAACCCUGUCAUCAGUGAAGUCCGAGUAAACCCACAAUUAAUAAAACUUUCAACAACGGAUCUCUUGGUUCCCGCAUCGAUGAAGAACGCAGCGAAAUGCGAAAAGUAAUGUGAAUUGCAGAAUUCCGUGAAUCAUCGAAUCUUUGAACGCACAUUGCGCCCUUUGGUAUUCCGAAGGGCAUGCCUGUUCGAGCGUCAUUGCACCCUCAAGCACUGCUUGGUAUUGGGCUCCGCCCCCGCGGCGGGCCUGAAAUCCAGUGGCGGUCCAGAGGGACCUCAAGCGUAGCAAGACCUGUUCCCCGCUUUGGAGGCUUCCCGCUGCGUGCCGGCCAGACAACCCCAUAUCCAUCAAGGAUUGACCUCGGAUCAGGUAGGGAUACCCGCUGAACUUAAGCAUAUCAAUAAGCGGAGGAAAAGAAACCAACAGGGAUUGCCUCAGUAACGGCGAGUGAAGCGGCAACAGCUCAAAUUUGAAAUCUGGCCCCUUCGGGGUCCGAGUUGUAAUUUGUAGAGGGUGUUUCGGGCGAAGCGCCGGCCUAAGUUCCUUGGAACAGGACGUCAUAGAGGGUGAGAAUCCCGUAUGCGGCCGGUGACGGACCCCAUGUGAAACCCUUUCGACGAGUCGAGUUGUUUGGGAAUGCAGCUCAAAAUGGGUGGUAAAUUUCAUCUAAAGCUAAAUACCGGCGGGAGACCGAUAGCGCACAAGUAGAGUAAUCGAAAGAUGAAAAGCACUUUGGAAAGAGAGUUAAAAAGUACGUGAAAUUGUUGAAAGGGAAGCGCUUGCAACCAGACCUGCCUCCGGGUGAUCAGCCUCCGUUCUCGGGGGUGCACUCGCCCGGCUGCAGGCCAGCAUCGGUUUGGGCGGUAGGAAAACGGCCCGGGAAUGUGGCUCCCUUCGGGGAGUGUUAUAGCCCGCGUCCCUUACUGCCAGCCUGGACCGAGGACCGCGCUUCGGCUAGGAUGCUGGCGUAAUGGUUGUAAGCGGCC